rnacentral:rRNA from 1 species
AAUCUUAGACAAUGGGGGCAACCCUAAUCUAGCCAUGCCGCGUGAGUGAUGAAGAAAAUAGAGUUGUCCAGCACUUUCAUCAGAGAAAAAUAUGACGGUAGCAGACGACGCAGACCUGACUUACUCCGUGCCAGCAGCCGCGGUAAUACGGAGGGGACGAGCGUUGUUCGGAAUUACUGUGCGUAAAGCGCACGUAGGCGGAUCGGAAAGUUGGGGGUGAAAGCCCGGGGCUCAACCCCGGAACUGCCUUCGAAACUAUCGGUCUGGAGUUCGAGUGAGGUGAGUGGAAUUCCGAGUGUAGGGGUGAAAUUCGUAGAUAUUCGUAGGAACACCAGUGGCGAAGGCGGCUCACUGGCUCGAUACUGACGCUGAGGUGCGAAAGCGUGGGGAGCAAACAG